rnacentral:rRNA from 1 species
AGAGUUUGAUCCUGGCUCAGAACGAACGCUGGCGGCGUGGAUAAGACAUGCAAGUCGAGCGCUGAUUAUAGGGUAGCAAUAUUCUGUAGUUGGAGCGGCGCAAGGGUGCGUAACACGUGGGUAAUCUGCCAUGAAGUUUGGGAUAACUUGCUGAAAGGCGAGCUAAUACCGGAUGUAAAAAUUGGGAGGCAUCUUCUGAUUUUCAAAGCUGGGGACCGUAAGGCCUGGCGCUUCAUGAUGAGCCCGCGGCCUAUCAGCUAGUUGGUAAGGUAACGGCUUACCAAGGCUAAGACGGGUAGCUGGUCUGAGAGGACGACCAGCCACACUGGAACUGAGACACGGUCCAGACACCUACGGGUGGCAGCAGUCGAGAAUUUUUCACAAUGGGCGCAAGCCUGAUGGAGCGACGCCGCGUGGGGGAUGAAUGGCUUCGGCCCGUAAACCCCUGUCAUUUGCGAUCAAACCUUGUUAUUUAAAAGAUGACGAGCUGAUAGUAGCGAAAGAGGAAGGGACGGCUAACUCUGUGCCAGCAGCCGCGGUAAUACAGAGGUCCCAAGCGUUGUUCGGAUUCACUGGGCGUAAAGGGUGCGUAGGUGGCGAGGUAAGUCGGAUGUGAAAUCUCCGAGCUCAACUCGGAAAUGGCAUUGGAAACUACCUUGCUCGAGGGUCGGAGGGGGGACUGGAAUACUUGGUGUAGCAGUGAAAUGCGUAGAUAUCGUGAGGAAGACCAGUGGCGAAGGCGGAUCUCUGGACAGCUCCUGACGCUGAGGCGCGAAGGCUAGGGGAGCAAACGGGAUUAGAUACCCUAGUAGUCC